AUUAAUAUCCCAUAAUAUCAUAAAAACACAUGUUUUAAUGAUUAAAGCUUCGGCGGAAAAGGAUGGGCAUGCGUCCUAUUAGUUAGUUGGUGAGGUAAUGGCUCACCAAGACUACGAUAUCUAGGGGGUCUGAGAGGAUGAUCCCCCACACUGGUACUGAGACACGGACCAGACUCCUACGGGAGGCAGCAGUGAGGAAUAUUGGUCAAUGGACGAAAGUCUGAACCAGCCAUGUCGCGUGAAGGAUGAAUGCCCUACGGGUUGUAAACUUCUUUUAUAUAGGAAGAAACCUCUUUACGUGUAAAAAGCUGACGGUACCUAACGAAUAAGCACCGGCUAACUCCGUGCCAGCAGCCGCGGUAAUACGGAGGGUGCAAGCGUUAUCCGGAUUCACUGGGUUUAAAGGGUGCGUAGGCGGAAUAAUUAGUCAGUGGUGAAAGCCUACAGCUUAACUGUAGAAUUGCCAUUGAUACUGUUAUUCUUGAGUAUAGUUGAGGUGGGCGGAAUGUGUCAUGUAGCGGUGAAAUGCAUAGAUAUGACACAGAACACCGAUUGCGAAGGCAGCUCGCUAAACUAUAACUGACGCUGAGGCACGAAAGCGUGGGGAGCGAACAGGAUUAGAUACCCUGGUAGUCCACGCCGUAAACGAUGAUCACUCGCUGUUGGCGAUACACAGUCAGCGGCCAAGCGAAAGUAAUAAGUGAUCCACCUGGGGAGUACGGUCGCAAGACUGAAACUCAAAGGAAUUGACGGGUGCCCGCACAAGCGGUGGAGCAUGUGGUUUAAUUCGAUGAUACGCGAGGAACCUUACCUGGGCUUAAAUGCAGAACGACAGACUGGGAAACCAGUCUCCUUCUUCGGACGGUCUGCAAGGUGCUGCAUGGUUGUCGUCAGCUCGUGCCGUGAGGUGUCGGGUUAAGUCCCAUAACGAGCGCAACCCCUAUCUUUAGUUGCUAACAGGUUAAGCUGAGGACUCUAGAGAAACUGCCAGUGCAAGCGGUGAGGAGGUGGGGAUGACGUCAAGUCAGCACGGCCCUUACGUCCAGGGCUACACACGUGCUACAAUGGCCAGUACAACGGGCAGCUACCCCGCGAGGGGAUGCGAAUCUCGAAAGCCGGUCUCAGUUCGGAUCGAAGUCUGCAACUCGACUUCGUGAAGCUGGAAUCGCUAGUAAUCGCGCAUCAGCCAUGGCGCGGUGAAUACGUUCCCGGGCCUUGUACACACCGCCCGUCAAGCCAUGGAAGUUGGGGGUACCUGAAGUCCGUCACCGAAAGGAGCGGCCUA
rnacentral:rRNA from 1 species